AAUCCAUAGGUUAAUGAGGCGAACCGGGGGAACUGAAACAUCUAAGUACCCCGAGGAAAAGAAAUCAACCGAGAUUCCCCCAGUAGCGGCGAGCGAACGGGGAGGAGCCCAGAGCCUGAAUCAGCAUGUGUGUUAGUGGAAGCGUCUGGAAAGGCGCGCGAUACAGGGUGACAGCCCCGUACACAAAAGCGCAUGUGCUGUGAGCUCGAUGAGUAGGGCGGGACACGUGGUAUCCUGUCUGAAUAUGGGGGGACCAUCCUCCAAGGCUAAAUACUCCUGACUGACCGAUAGUGAACCAGUACCGUGAGGGAAAGGCGAAAAGAACCCCGGCGAGGGGAGUGAAAAAGAACCUGAAACCGUGUACGUACAAGCAGUGGGAGCACCCUUUGGGUGUGACUGCGUACCUUUUGUAUAAUGGGUCAGCGACUUAUAUUCUGUAGCAAGGUUAACCGAAUAGGGGAGCCGGAGGGAAACCGAGUCUUAAUUGGGCGUUAAGUUGCAGGGUAUAGACCCGAAACCCGGUGAUCUAGCCAUGGGCAGGUUGAAGG
rnacentral:rRNA from 3 species